rnacentral:rRNA from 1 species
UCAAAAACAUCUCUCCUUGUGAGCAAUAGGAGUAGGCCCUGCACAGUGCCUCACGGGGUAAACGGCGGUGUUCAACCUUAAAGUAGCGUAAUAAAUUGGCCUUUAAUUGGGGUCUAGUAUGAAUGGGUUGACGAUGGGGGGACUGUCUCCAGAAGAUAUGUUGAAACUUUCCUCCCAGUGAAAAGUCUAGGAUAGGUUUGAAAGACGAGAAGACCCCGUCGAGCUUGAAUAAGCGUUCCUCGCUCAGCGGGGCGUAAAACCUUUGUUGGGGCAACAAGGGAGAAAAGUAAACCUCCACUUUCCUUUAUGCGGAUCCAUAUUUUAUGAUAAAAAGCAAGAGUUACCGCGGGGAUAACAGCGUAAGACUACUAAGGAGACCUUAUCUGUAGUAGUAAUUGCGACCUCGAUGUUGGCUUAGGGUAAACUUUUUGGUGCAGGAGCUAAUG